GGACUUACAUCAGCAUCCGAACCAAAACACACACACACUGGAACCCAAAUGCCACUCGAGGGACUUAUAUCAGCUUCCAAGCACGCAACAACAUAACAAGUUAAUAGGGAGUCGGGGACUCGAGCCUAUAACUGUCAAGCACACACUCAAACAGACAGACAACAAAUUGCUAAGGAGUCAGGCACUCGAGCCUAGCAACUGUCAAACAACUCA
rnacentral:lncRNA from 1 species